GUAGUCGCCCGGGUUGCCGCGAGGCCUCCUGGGUAACCUACCACCCUUUGCUUAUUACACUUUGUUGCUUUGGCAAGCCUGCCCUCGGGCUGCUGGCUCCGGCCGGCGAGCGCUUGCCAGAGGACCUAAACUCUGUUUGUCUAUACUGUCUGAGUACUAUAUAAUAGUUAAAACUUUCAACAACGGACCUCUUGGUUCU
rnacentral:misc_RNA from 1 species